rnacentral:rRNA from 1 species
CCUACGGGUGGCAGCAGUAGGGAAUAUUGCUCAAUGGGGGAAACCCUGAAGCAGCAACGCCGCGUGAAGGAUGAAGGUUUUCGGAUUGUAAACUUCUUUUGUUAGAGAAGAUAAUGGCAGUAUCUAACGAACAAGCACCGGGCAAUACCGUGCCAGCAGGCGCGGUAAUACGGAGGGUGCAAGCGUUAAUCGGAAUCACUGGGCGUAAAGGGCGCGUAGGCGGGAUAGCAAGUCAGAUGUGAAAUCCUAUGGCUUAACCUUAGAACUGCAUUUGAAACUGUUAUUCUAGAGUAUGGGAGAGGUAGGUGGAAUUCUUGGUGUAGGGGUAAAAUGCGUAGAGAUCAAGAGGAAUACGCAUUGCGAAGGCGACCUGCUGGAACGUAACUGACGCUGAUGCGCGAAAGCGUGGGGAGCAAACAGGAUUAGAUACCCCGGUAGUC